CGGAAAUCUGAAACAGGAAGAAGGCGGAUGACAGAAUUCCACGGGGUACAAUUAGAGCAGUCACUUGAAGAGAUGCAGUGAAAACAUAUUCUGCCUCCCUGCGACUCGAGGGCCAGACUGAUCCCCAAAGGCAAACACCAGCGACAAUUGCUCACAUGUUCUUCUGGAAAUUUCCCACAUACCAACAGCUCUAUCAAGACGAAACGUGUAACGGAAUUCAGACACCCCUGGAUGGUAUGAACACUCCCGAGGGUGAAACCGCAGAGCGAGCCCAUAGAGGAGCUACAGAAGCAGUGCGAGCGAGGCGUCCACUGACAGUGUGAGAGAUCUUCUGGUGCCACGAGAGGGACACGGAAACGAACAGUGCCUAAAUAUACAUAUUUCCGUCAGGAGAAAGAUCAAAGCUCCUCAAAUAAAGUAGCCAAAUCCUAGGAUACAGAAAAGGAAACUGGAUUUAAAAAAACAAACAAAAAAGCCAAGGAGCCACCGAGGCCACGGGUACUACUGACUGAGGGUUCUCUCCCACGCGAUGCGGCGCCACUCGUGACUUUUCACCUCCCCUGAAGCCUUAGCAGAAAGAGGAGCGCCACCCACCGGCCAGCUUACUAUCAAAAGCUCCACGCUGCCCUCUCAGCCGGUGGACAAGGAGCAGAAAUGAAACGCGGUACUGUCUUUCUAACACAGGGGCUGGGGGGAGGGCACAGCCCAGCGGUGGGGCGUGUGCUUAGCGCGCAGGGCCCAGGGUCAAUCCUCAGUCCCUCCGUUAAACAAGCAAACUUAAUCCCCCAAUAAGUAAAUACAUAAAAGGUAA